rnacentral:rRNA from 1 species
UGGAUCCAGACUUUGAUCCUGGCUCAGGAUAAACGCUGGCGGCGCACAUAAGACAUGCAAGUCGAACGAACUUAACCAUUAGUUUACUAUUGGAGCGGUUAGUGGCGGACUGGUGAGUAACACGUAAGCAACCUGCCUAUCAGAGGGGAACAACAGUUAGAAAUGACUGCUAAUACCGCAUAUGCCUUGAGUAUUGCAUGAUACAAAAGGGAAAGGAGAAAUCCGCUGAUAGAUGGGCUUGCGUCUGAUUAGCUAGUUGGUGGGGUAAAGGCCUACCAAGGCGACGAUCAGUAGCCGGACUGAGAGGUUGAACGGCCACAUUGGGACUGAGAUACGGCCCAGACUCCUACGGGAGGCAGCAGUCGGGAAUAUUGCGCAAUGGAGGAAACUCUGACGCAGUGACGCCGCGUGCAGGAAGAAGGUUUUCGGAUUGUAAACUGCUUUAGACAGGGAAGAUAAUGACAGUACCUGUAGAAUAAGCUCCGGCUAACUACGUGCCAGCAGCCGCGGUAAUACGUAGGGAGCAAGCGUUAUCCGGAUUUAUUGGGUGUAAAGGGUGCGUAGACGGGAAGGCAAGUUAGUUGUGAAAUCCCUCGGCUUAACUGAGGAACUGCAACUAAAACUAUCUUUCUUGAGUGCUGGAGAGGAAAGUGGAAUUCCUAGUGUAGCGGUGAAAUGCGUAGAUAUUAGGAGGAACACCAGUGGCGAAGGCGACUUUCUGGACAGUAACUGACGUUGAGGCACGAAAGUGUGGGGAGCAAACAGGAUUAGAUACCCUGGUAGUCCACACCGUAAACGAUGGAUACUAGGUGUAGGGGAUGAAUAAUCUUCUGUGCCGUCGCAAACGCAGUAAGUAUCCCACCUGGGGAGUACGGCCGCAAGGUUGCAACUCAAAUGAAUUGACGGA